rnacentral:lncRNA from 1 species
UUUAUAUUAUAAAGAUUAAAUUCCAAUUAGCUUAGGAUUCUAUUCUUCGACGUUCAAUUGAGGGAAUCCGAAAGUUUGUCAUGCAUUAUGAGUACUAUAUGGUUACCAUUUAAUUGGUUUUGCUAGAUUUUGAGGAGUUCCUCUUCAAUUUAAGAUGGUGAAUUUGGGGUUGUUUACUGGGAACAAGCCUUUGAAGUCAAGGAAGGUGAGCUUCAGAAUCCCAUAUUAUAC